GCAAGUGCGGGAGUGGGGAGCUCGUCCACGGCGUCUCGGCUAGGCGGCCCCGGGGCGGGGACGGGCUCUCGCUUACGCUCUCUGCGCCGACGGAGUCUUUUUCUCUCCCGGCGUGAGGGAGGCGAACACUUGGAGGGACGUGCUGGCGCCGCAGCCCUGGUCUCCCCUCAGCGUCCAGGGAGGAGCCCUUCCUGCCGGCGUGGAAACCAUGGUGCUCACGCUCGGAGAAAGUUGGCCAGUAUUGGUGGGGAAAAGAUUCCUCAGCCUGUCCGCGGCAGAGGGCAGCGACGGCGCCCACGACAGCUGGGACGUGGAGCGCGUCGCCGAGUGGCCCUGGCUCUCCGGGACCAUUCGAGCUGUUUCCCAUACUGAGGUUACCAAGAAAGAUCUGAAGGUGUGUGUGGAGUUUGAUGGGGAGUCUUGGAGGAAGAGAAGAUGGAUAGAGGUCUACAGCCUUCUAAGGAGAGCAUUUUUAGUAGAGCAUAACUUGGUUCUGGCUGAACGAAAGUCACCUGAAGUUUCUGAACGAGUUAUUCAGUGGCCUGCCAUAAUGUACAAAUCUCUAUUGGACAAAGCUGGCUUGGGAUCUAUAACUUCUGUUCGGUUUCUAGGAGAUCAACAAAGCAUAUUUCUUUCCAAAGACCUUUUGAAGCCUAUACAGGAUGUAAACAGUCUUCGACUUUCCCUUACUGAUAAUCAGGUAGUCAGUAAAGAAUUUCAAGCUUUGAUUGUAAAACAUUUGGAUGAAAGCCAUCUUUUACAAGGAGACAAGAACCUCGUUGGUUCAGAAGUAAAAAUUUAUAGCUUGGAUCCAUCUACCCAGUGGUUUUCAGCAACUGUUAUAAAUGGAAACCCAACAUCAAAAACUCUUCAGGUCAACUGUGAGGAGAUUCCAGCACUGAAAAUUGUUGAUCCGGCACUGAUUCAUGUUGAAGUUGUACAUGAAAACUUUGUGAGUUGUGGUAAUUCUACAAGAAUCGGAGCUGUAAAACGCAAGUCUUCUGAGAAUAAUGGAAAUCUAGUUUCUAAACAAGCAAAAUCUUGCACUGAGGCCUCUCCCAGUGUGUGUCCUGUACAGUCUGUUCCCACAACAGUUUUUAAGGAGAUUCUACUUGGCUGUACUGCAGCAACUCCAUCUAGUAAAGAUCCAAGACAGCAAAGUACUCCCCAGGCUGCCAACUCUCCACCUAAUCUUGGAGCGAAAAUUCCUCAAGGAUGUCAUAAGCAGAGUUUACCGGAAGAACUUUCUUCCUGUCUAAACACAAAGCCUGAAAUACUGAGAACAAAACCAGAUGUCUGCAAAGCAGGAUUGCUUUCUUCAAAAUCUCAGGUUGGAACUGGAGACUUGAAAAUUCUGAGUGAGCCCAAAGGUAGCUGUAUCCAGCCUAAAACAAAUACUGAUCCAGAAAACAGAUUGGAGUCUGUUCCACAACCAGUGACUGGCCUUCCCAAGGAGUGCUUACCUGCAAAGGCUUCUUCUAAGGCAGAAUUGGAAAUUGCCAGUACUCCUGAACUGCAGAAGCAUCUAGAACAUGCAGCUUCCACAUCUGAUGACCUUUCAAAUAAACCAGAAGUGAAAUCAGAUAUCAAUAGCCUUAAUAGUUGUGUAGAAAAAAAAGUAGAACCUUCAAGUUUAGGUUACCAAUUGCAGAAUUCCAAGGAAACAUCAGUAAAAGUAGAUAAUGAAAGCUGUUGUACAAGAAGCAGCAAUAAAACCCAGAAUCCCCCAGCCAGGAAGUCAGUUUUGACAGACCCAGAUAAACUCAAGAAGCUGCAGCAGAGUGGAGAGGCCUUUGUUCAGGAUGACUCCUGUGUGAACAUUGUGGCACAGCUACCCAAGUGCCGGGAAUGUCGCUUAGACAGUCUGCGCAAGGACAAGGAGCAGCAGAAGGACUCCCCUGUGUUCUGUCGCUUCUUUCACUUCAGGAGGUUACAAUUCAACAAACAUGGUGUGUUGCGGGUAGAAGGCUUCUUAACACCAAACAAGUAUGACAGUGAAGCAAUUGGCUUGUGGCUCCCUUUGACCAAAAAUGUUGUGGGGACUGAUUUGGACACAGCAAAAUAUAUCCUGGCCAACAUUGGAGACCACUUUUGUCAAAUGGUGAUUUCUGAAAAGGAAGCUAUGUCAACUAUUGAGCCACACAGACAGGUUGCUUGGAAGCGGGCUGUCAAAGGUGUUCGAGAAAUGUGUGAUGUGUGUGACACCACCAUCUUCAACCUACACUGGGUGUGCCCUCGGUGUGGGUUUGGAGUGUGUGUAGAUUGCUACAGGAUGAAGAGGAAAAAUUGCCAACAGGGUGCUGCCUACAAGACUUUCAAUUGGCUAAGGUGUGUGAAGAGUCAGAUUCAUGAGCCUGAGAACCUGAUGCCCACACAGAUCAUUCCUGGCAAAGCCCUCUAUGAUGUUGGAGACAUUGUGCACUCUAUAAGAGCAAAGUGGGGAAUAAAAGCAAAUUGUCCCUGCUCGAAUAGGCAGUUCAAGCUCUUUUCAAAGCCUGCCUCAAAGGAAGACCUGAAACAGACAUCCUUAACUGGAGAAAAACCAACUCUUGGGACCAUGCUCCAGCAGAGUACCCCCUCUGUACUGGAGACAGCCACUGUGGGUGGGGAAGCAGUCUCCAAGCCAACCAGCAGCAUGAAGCCUGCCUGUCCAGCCAGCACUUCACCUUUAAACUGGCUGGCGGACCUCACUACAGGGAAUGUCAACAAGGAGAACAAGGAAAAACAACCAACAAUGCCAAUUUUAAAGAACGAAAUCAAAUGCCUUCCACCCCUCCCUCCUCUGAGCAAAUCCAGCACAGUCCUCCACACCUUUAACAGUACAAUUUUGACACCUGUAAGCAACAAUAAUUCUGGUUUUCUUCGAAAUCUCCUGAAUUCCUCCACAGGAAAGACAGAAAAUGGACUCAAGAACACACCCAAAAUCCUUGAUGACAUCUUUGCCUCUUUGGUACAAAACAAGACUUCCUCUGAUUUAUCUAAGAGACCUCAAGGACUGACGAUCAAGCCCAGCAUUCUUGGCUUUGACACUCCUCACUACUGGCUGUGUGAUAACCGCCUGCUGUGCUUGCAAGAUCCCAACAACAAGAGCAAUUGGAAUGUGUUUAGGGAAUGCUGGAAACAAGGACAGCCAGUGAUGGUAUCUGGAGUGCAUCAUAAGUUGAACACUGAACUUUGGAAGCCUGAAUCCUUCAGGAAGGAGUUUGGUGAACAGGAAGUGGACCUAGUUAAUUGUAGGACCAAUGAAAUUAUAACAGGAGCCACAGUAGGAGACUUCUGGGAUGGAUUUGAAGAUGUUCCCAAUCGUUUAAAAAAUGAAAAAGAAAAAGAACCAAUGGUGUUGAAACUUAAGGACUGGCCCCCGGGAGAGGAUUUUAGAGAUAUGAUGCCUUCCAGAUUUGAUGAUCUGAUGGCCAACAUUCCACUACCUGAGUACACAAGGCGAGAUGGUAAACUGAACUUGGCCUCUAGACUGCCAAACUACUUUGUUCGGCCAGACCUGGGCCCCAAGAUGUACAAUGCUUAUGGACUAAUCACUCCGGAAGAUCGGAAAUAUGGAACAACAAAUCUUCACUUAGAUGUAUCUGAUGCUGCUAAUGUCAUGGUUUAUGUGGGAAUUCCCAAAGGGCAGUGUGAGCAGGAAGAAGAAGUCCUUAGAACCAUCCAAGAUGGAGAUUCUGAUGAACUCACAAUAAAGCGGUUUAUUGAGGGAAAAGAGAAGCCGGGAGCCCUCUGGCACAUAUAUGCAGCUAAGGACACGGAGAAGAUAAGAGAAUUUCUUAAAAAGGUAUCAGAAGAGCAGGGUCAAGAAAAUCCUGCAGACCACGAUCCUAUUCAUGAUCAGAGCUGGUAUUUAGACCGAUCACUAAGAAAGCGCCUUUAUCAAGAGUAUGGUGUUCAAGGCUGGGCUAUUGUACAAUUUCUUGGGGAUGUGGUGUUUAUCCCAGCAGGAGCUCCACAUCAGGUUCAUAACUUAUACAGCUGUAUCAAAGUGGCUGAAGACUUUGUGUCUCCAGAGCAUGUUAAACACUGCUUCUGGCUUACUCAGGAAUUCCGUUACCUGUCACAGACUCACACCAACCAUGAAGAUAAAUUACAGGUGAAGAAUGUUAUCUACCAUGCAGUGAAGGAUGCAGUUGCUAUGCUAAAAGCCAGUGAAUCUAGUUUUGGCAAACCUUAAUCCCUUCCUGCACAUUGGAGAUGAUUUAUUGGCAGCUGAUCAAACUCUUCAGGCAGGAUUCCUGUGGACUUUGAGAUUUCAUGUUACCUCAUCUUCUUUUUUUAAAACUAUACCCGACUUGUGAGGGUACUCUGUCUAAUGUAUAUUUCUAGUGUUUACAGACACUAAAUGUGUAUAUGUAGUAACUAUUUACAGACCACGCAUCCUUAUACUGUGACUUCUCACCUAAUGCAGAUCUUUUAUCAAGCUGUAAAAUAAGACCUCUUAUCAGCUGAAACAGUACCUAUAGUUAUUCCCAGCUGUUUGUUUGGGCAGCUUAUUCAAAUGGGUUUAUAACUAUUAGGAAUCACUGCACAGUUUAAUUGGAUUUUAUUUUAUGUCUGUCUGAGCACCCUCCCCCACCCAUUAGGGUCCACAAGAGCACCGGAGGGAGUGACAGCUAAUGAUGCAAGUUCUAAAUGUAUCGCAUAGGACUGGCAUUACAUAGCAGAAAUCGACUACUGGACAAUUCUUGGGGUUAACCAUCUUUAGUUGUGGACUUUUAAUUUAAAUGAAGCUUUGCUAAUUUUAAGUGAUUGGCCCUUAAAGAGCAACUAUCACUAAAUUAAAAUGAGGAAAAUAGGGCCAAUGUGAUGGCUCAGCAGGUAAAGGUGCUUCCUGCCAAACUGACAGACCAAGUUCUACUCCUGGGACCCACAUGGUGGAAAGAGAGAACCGGCUUCCAAUUUCCACAAGUUGUUAAUCUCCAUAUUCACCAUGGCACUUACAUGUCCCACCAAAACAAAUCCUGAGGGGAUGUCAGAGGAGCCAGUACUUCUGUUGUUUGAGCACCUGGGACAGAGAGACACAUUGCAGAUCUGAACUAUCUGGCUCACUUUGUUUCCAGUGAUGCCCACCAUAUGAGAGAUCGUAUUCAUGUCUGUGCCCACACUCCUGUACCUGGCUCAUGUGUUCUACGUGCUGAGAAAGGGGAAGAAACUGAACAUGAAAGAGGAGCUCAAAGUGGCCCAGACGGAUGGUGU